UAUCGAGCAGAGAGAAGAAGCUAUCGCGAUGUGCGACAACACGAACACGACGACGCAGAGUAUAGCGGACUACCUGUCGCAGCUGCUCAAGGACAGGAAUCAACUAGCGGCCAUACCCAACGUCUUCAUGCACGUCGAACGGCUCCUGGACGAAGAAAUUGCUAAAGUCCGAGCGAGUCUCUUUCAAAUCAAUGGCGUGAAAAAGGAUCCACUCAUUCUCCCGGAGGCAGAGGGCGAAGUCACAACACUCACAGAAAAAGUUUAUGUACCUGUUAAAGAGCAUCCUGACUUCAACUUCGUGGGAAGGAUUUUAGGACCACGCGGAAUGACGGCUAAACAAUUGGAGCAGGAAACUGGAUGCAAAAUCAUGGUUCGUGGCAAAGGAUCGAUGAGGGACAAGAAGAAGGAGGAGCAAAACCGUGGCAAGCCAAACUGGGAGCACCUGACUGACGAGCUACACGUCCUGCUGACUGUGGAGGACACGGAGAAUCGGGCCACACUCAAGCUCGCCCGCGCCGUUGAGGAAGUUAAAAAGCUCCUCGUGCCCGUGCAAGCCGACGGGGAAGAUGAAUUGAAGAAGAGGCAGUUGAUGGAGCUGGCCAUUAUUAACGGAACCUACCGAGAUUCCAACACCAAAGUAACCGCGGCUACAGCCUUUGACAUUGCAGCCUGCGACGAGGAAUGGCGACGCGUGGCCGUGGCAGCAGCCGAGACUCAGCGGCUGCUUCCCGGUCUUGGCACUCCAAUGAGGACCCCGAGCGCACCCCUGGGCGCGCCCCUUAUCCUCUCCCCAAGGAUAUCCGUCCCAACGACCGCGGCCUCGCUCCUCAACGGCUCCGGGCCCCCGGGUUCCCUGCUAUCCGCGGGCGAUCCUCACGGCCUCAUCUACGCCCCCUACGCGGACUACGCCAAUUACGCAGCCCUCGCCAGCUCGCCCUUGCUCACCGAGUACACCACGGCUGACCAUUCUGGUGCGGCAGCCGCUGCGAAGCAGCGCAGGCACUUCGGCCAGAUUCGGCAGCACCCUUAUCAGAGGGCCGGCGCUCUAUCGUGAGCGGGCCACCGCGGGGGACACGUGAGCGCGCCCCGGUAAAUCCAUUUUUACCGGCGCGAAGCGCGAGCCCGCGGUACAGGCUUGCGGAGUGCUAACAAUGGAAAAUCCACACUCGUCCCGUGCUAACACCUGGAUUAUUGGACACACGCAGAGCAUCCGCCGCGCGUUCGAUCGCGACUACUAUCACUCUCUCACUUUUUCUCUCUCUCGUCAGAAAAAAAAAACAAAAAA